AGCAGCCGCGGUAAUUCCAGCUCCAAUAGCGUAUAUUAAAGUUGUUGCAGUUAAAAAGCUCGUAGUUGAAUUUUGGGUCUGGCCGGGCGGUCCGCCCUCUGGGUGAGCACUGUUCCGACGUCGGGCCUAUCCUUCUGGUGAGUCGGCAUGUCCUUUAUUGGGUGUGUCGGGGAACCAGGACCAUUACCUUGAAAAAAUUAGAGUGUUCAAAGCAGGCGUAUGCUCGGAUACAUUAGCAUGGAAUAAUGAAAUAGGACGCGUGGUGCUAUUUUGUUGGUUUCUAGAACCGCCGUAAUGAUUAAUAGGGAUAGUUGGGGGCAUUAGUAUUCAAUUGUCAGAGGUGAAAUUCUUGGAUUUAUUGAAGACUAACUUCUGCGAAAGCAUUUGCCAAGGAUGUUUUCAUUAAUCAAGAACGAAAGUUAGGGGAUCGAAGACGAUCAGAUACCGUCGUAGUCUUAACCAUAAACUAUGCCGACUAGGAAUCGGGCGAUGUUAUUCUCAUGACUCGCCCGGCGCCUUAUG
rnacentral:rRNA from 1 species